rnacentral:lncRNA from 1 species
UCCUCGAGGUUACACUCUCAUCCUGGAGGUUACACUCUCAUCCUGGAGAUUACACUCUCAUCCUGGAGGUUACACUCUCAUCCUGGAGGUAACACUAUCAUCCUGGAGGUUACACUCUCAUCCUCGAGGUUACACUCUCAUCCUGGAGGUAACACUAUCAUCCUGGAGGUUACACGCUCAUCCUGGAGUUUAAAAUCUCAUCCUGGAGGUAACACUCUCAUCCCGGAGGUGUCACUCUCAUCAUUGAGGACACCCUCUCAUCCUGGAGGUAACACUCUCAUCCUGGAGAUAACACUCUCAUCCUGGCCUGGAAGUAACACUAUCAUCCUGGAGGAAACACUAGCAUCCCAGAGAAAACACUAUCAUCCUGGAGGUAACACUCUCAUCCUGGAGAUAACACUCUCAUCCUGGCCUGGAAGUAACACUAUCAUCCUGGAAGAAACACUCUCAUCCUGGAGAAAACACUAUCAUCCUGGAGGAAACACUAUCAUCCUGGAGGAAACACUAUCAUCCUGGAGAAAACACUAUCAUCCUGGAGGAAACACUAUCAUCCUGGAGGAAACACUAUCAUCCUGGAGGAAACACUAUCAUCCUGGAGGAAACACUAUCAUCCUGGUGAAGAAACAUGUGGAGAAAGACUUCCUGUCUAAGGUCUAAGCUGCUACAGGGCCAUAGCUAACACAGUCAUAUUAAUACUACCUGUCUAAGGUCUGAGCUGCUACAGGGCCAUAGCUAACACAGUCAUAUUAAUACUACCUGUCUACGGUCUGAGCUGCUACAGGGUCAUAGCUAACACAGUCAUUAAUACUACCUGUCUACGGUCUGAGCUGCUACAGGGUCAUAGCUAACACAGUCAUUAAUUAAACCUGUCUAAGGUCUAAGCUGCUACAGGGCCAUAGCUAACACAGUCAUAUU